ACGAACGCUGGCGGCGUGCUUAACACAUGCAAGUCGAACGGUAAGGCCCUUCGGGGUACACGAGUGGCGAACGGGUGAGUAACACGUGGGUAAUCUGCCCUGCACUUCGGGAUAAGCCUGGGAAACUGGGUCUAAUACCGGAUAUUCAGUUCCUGCCGCAUGGUGGGGGUUGGAAAGUUUUUCGGUGCAGGAUGAGCCCGCGGCCUAUCAGCUUGUUGGUGGGGUAAUGGCCUACCAAGGCGACGACGGGUAGCCGGCCUGAGAGGGUGAUCGGCCACACUGGGACUGAGACACGGCCCAGACUCCUACGGGAGGCAGCAGUGGGGAAUAUUGCACAAUGGGCGAAAGCCUGAUGCAGCGACGCCGCGUGGGGGAUGACGGUCUUCGGAUUGUAAACCCCUUUCAGUAGGGACGAAGCGCAAGUGACGGUACCUGCAGAAGAAGCACCGGCCAACUACGUG
rnacentral:rRNA from 1 species